GCAGCCUCCUCUUUUUCUUUUAUUCACGCAGCAACCUUCCUCCUCCAUAAUCACCAAAAUCAACAAAACACAUUGAUAUGUUACUGUCCAAAGUUAAUGAUCAGGAGUCUGUUGUUCUCGUUCUGCUUAUGUUUCCCUCUUUCUAUUUUUUAGUUUGUUUUUUCAAAAUGAUCAAAACGAUGUCAUCCUACAGGUUUUGUUACUAGGUUGUGCAAAUUUUAACCAAAAACGACGUCAUUUUGGCCUGUUCUACAUAACCGAGGAAAACUGGCCAACCCGCGGUUUUGAUCGGUUUGGCCGGUUCAGAACCGAUUUCAGCGGUCCAACUCCGGUUUUGUAUUUAUUCGGUUCUUGCAGUGUUUUGGACCAGAGUUGUGCCCGGUUUCCGGUCGAACCGACCGGUCCAGUCCGAUUUUCAGAACAUUGGAAAAUUAAGUAUAAAUAUCUAGACACAUGAAUGAGGAAGAUGUUGACCAUCUUCAUCAUCAUCUUCAACAUCUCCACCCAUGAUCUUCAACAUCUUAUUCAUCAUCCUCUUUAGCAUGCUAAUCAUCAUCAUCUUCAUUCUACCCAACAAUAAACCCAGAUCCGCCACCCACCGCAACACCCACCAAAUUCACCAACGGCUGCAUCCCCCACCACCGCAACCAACUCCCUCUCCGCAAACAAAACCUCACCCCCAGAGUAACCCCCACCCACAACAACGUUUGCGAGCCUUGAAUUGGGUCUUGAUCUCCAUCUUCUUCUUCUCGAUCUAGUUUCGGGUCUUGAUUUGUUUCUCGAUCUUCAUCUUCAUCUUCUCAAUCUUCAUCUACUUCUAGAUCUAGUAUCUACGUUCCAAUUUCCAAGAUGAUGAACAGAUCUGAAAGGGUGAGAUCUGAAACCGCUGAAGCUAAGGGUUCAACAGAGGAGGAGAUCUAAAAGGGGGAGAUCUGAAAAAAUGGAGAAGGGUUUGAGGCAAUUUCAACUAAUGCAUGCUAGAGAAAAUGAGAUUACUCAAAUUUUUGCAAAAUGAAUAGAUAUGCGUUCCAACUUCAAAAAUGAUGAACAAAUCUAAAAGGGGGAGAUCUGAAACUGUCGAAGCUUAGGAGUCAAAGGAGGAGGAUAUCUGAAAUGGGGAGAUCUGAAAAAGGGGGAGAAGGGUUUGAGACAAUUUCAACUAAUGCAUGUUAGAGAAAAUGAGACCACUCAAUUUUUUAUAAGACGAAUAGAUCUACACUCCAACUUCCAAGAUGAUGAACAGAUAUGAAAGGGUGAGAUCUCAAACCAAUGAAACUGAGGGGUCAACGAAGGAAGAGAUCUGAAAAAGAAGAAGAAGGAUUUGGGAUAAUUUCAACCGAUGCAUGCUAGAGAAAAUAUGGUGACUGGAAUUUUUGCAAGAUGAAUAAGUGAUUUUUUUUUCCCGUAUCAUGAAUAAAUGCAAUACAAGAGGAUGCCCACUCAUCUUUAUUAUUGUAUUUAAUGAUAUGAUUCAGGUCUAUCUUCUUUUAGACUUGAUCUACGUUCUAAUUUCCAAAAUGAUGAACAUAUCUGAAACCGCCGAAGCUAAGGAUUCAACAGAGGAAGAGAUCUGAAAAGGAAGAUCUGAAAAAGAGGGAGAAGGGUUUGAGACAAUUUCAACAAAUGCAUGCUAGAGAAAAUGAGAUAUUCGUUCCAACUUCCAAGAUAAUUAAUAGAUAUGAAAGGGUUACAUCUGAAACUGGCGAAGCUAAGGGGUCAACGGAGGAGGAGAUCUGAAAGGGGGUGAUCUGAAAAAGAGGAAGAAGGGUUUGAGACAAUUUUAACGGAUGCAUGCUAGAGAAAAUGAGGAUCCUCCUCCUCCAUGCUCCACCCAUCUUGAACCUCCAAACAUUGAUUCUUGAGGCAUACCAUGGAUUAUAAUAGAAAUUAAAGUACCAAGAUGAUUAAUUAAAACCUAGCAAAUCCCUAGAAACACACACUCUACGACCGCAAAACCACUUCAUCCUGGCGAACAACCCCCACUCUAUAACCUCUUCCACACCUUCGAUUACCACCAUGGUGGACCUCUUCCCGCCAACUCCGCCAUUAAGUUAAUUAUGUCACUGAAACACCAAUUGUGCCAUUGCAUCCUCCAUCGUGGACUAGCCCAACUCCACCGUGUAACCGUCGAAGCCAACAUCCCUUGCAUCGUCCAAAUUGAGUCACCUUUACCGUUGCCAAAACCCAAACCAGCGAACCAAACCUAGAUAAGCCCCCCAUCGAUCUCAACCACCAAUUCACCUCCAUUUUCGUGGUAUCGGAGCCACCACGUCGAGACCUGCCGCAUCAUCAAUGAAAGAAGAUGAAAUCUUGAAAUUGAAGAGUAGAGAAAGAGAAUGAGAGAAGAUUAAAUCUUUGAACGUUAUCGGGAUCUUUGAUGUCAAGAAAACUCAGAUUUGCGCCAUCAUCGAGCUCAACCACCAAGUCACCUCCCUUUUCGUCAUGCCAGAUCCAUCAAGGCGAGACCCACCACAUCAUCAACAAAUGUAGAUGAAAUCGGGAAAUGGAAGGGUAGACAAAGUGAAAUGGAGAAGACAAAGAGAGCGAUAUUUGAAGAUCAUGGUUUCACAAAUGAAGUGCGAUAUGGUUCUGGUUACGCUGUCGAGGCUUAUUGACAACAGGGGGGAGACAUCUAGAGAUCAUAGCUGGUGAACGAAGAAAACAACGAUGCAGGUUAUGACGCCUCUACUUUAGAACAAAAUUUUGGUGAUGCAGAAGAGAAGAAGGGCUGGGAACUUUUUGAAGGAUUACUUUGUAAAUAAUGAUAAUAAUAUAAACAUUUAAAAUUUAUAAAAGAAAAUAUUUAUUGAAUGCUACCUUAAGGUUGUGUUUGGUUUGAGGGAGAGGCGAAGGAAAGAUUAAUUGUAUAAGGAGAACACAAUAACCAAUCCACCUUCCCUUGUUCGUAAUGGAGAAAAGAGGGAAGGAAAGAAUUAUUUUUUGUCGGCACAACCAGGAAAAACUUUCCGUCCAAAUUGAAGUGAAAAUGGUGAAAUAGCUAUGAUUUUUGUUUAAAAGAUAAUAUUACCCCUACCAAUUUUUAUUAUUCCACAUAAGUUACCUUUUGUAUAGAUAAAGUUCUUUUAUAAUGUUUUUUCAUCCGAUUUACAUUAACUUAUCUUUGCUUCUAAAGUUUUAAUCAUGUUUAAAAAUUUUAAAUGUGAUAUAUAAAUUACUUUUUAGUUUUGACCAAGUAUCUCCACAGCCGACUGCCGUGAGAUUAAUCCAUCGUCCCACGGUCAGCGCACUAAGCGGUAUAUCGUAUAAUAUUUAAUAUAGAUUUAAAUGUGAUAUGUAAUAAUUUAAAAUGGUUGUAAAGGGGACAAUAAUAAUUAUCCAUUAUAUUUUCUUUCUUUCCUCUCACUUUUCCUUUCACACAAUAUCAUACCAAACAGCUUAAAAAAUCAUCUCACUUUCCCUCCUCUUUCUUUCCUCUCUCUUUCUUUCCUUUCACUUUCUUUCCCAACCAAACAAAGCCUGAAAGGAUCCACUUUUGCUAAUAUGUGCAGAGAAACACUUUGUCAAAUUUGCUUAUUUUUGAAAAAGAAAAUGAAUCAGUUUGCGUCACCCUAAUGACAUUAGUGACUUAGUGUCAUGUCUCACUGGCCAACGUCAAUAUGAGCAGACUCUAGAAUAGAAGUUCCAGGUAGUUAUUUAUUACACAGAAGGAAAUCUGCACUACUCACACAUUUUUUUGCAGUAUUCAGGUGAUAGAGGUGGAAAUACAUCAUGUCACUGUGGUUUCUGUCCAAUCCUUGAAUGAGCUGUAGUACUCAUUUAUCUUUAAGCAGAUGAAGAAAAAAAAUACCAAGAUAAAUAACACUUACUUAAAUUUCUUUCUGUUUCUCCUAAUUCAAUAUAUAUCCCCAUAUUUGGAUCAAGAUUUGCAGGUGAUACCAAAUAUUGAAAGAAAUUACAAGAUUGCAAAUUUUGAAGAGUUGGAUUUGCAACUGCAUGGCCAGUUUUGGUUUGGAAAAUCACUAAAGCCAGAAUCAAUUCUAGAGAGAAUCUCAUGUGAUUAGUUUUUGGAGAGAAGAUGAUACAAACAUAUGCUAAAGAGAAACUUUUGUUGCGACUUACAAAAGUCCAAAACUAUGAAGUACUUAAGUUAAACACUUAAACUAGCUUGAUUCGAUAUUGACAAUGGAAAUAAAAAAUAAAACUAACUAGGCCAAGAGCACACAAGCAAGUUUCUUCAGCAAUUGUUCAAGGGGUUUCAAUUUCAGUGCUAAAUAGGCUACCAAUUCUAUGUUCAUGCAGAGGGUUUGGGCCUGUAGGAACCUUCCUCAGAGAAGUUUCACUUUCAUGUCUCACAGGGCUAUGGAUGUAUAGAUGCAGUGGGUUUGGACCGAUAAGAACCAACCUCUGCUCCGAAUUCAGUGACUUCUCCCCUUGCAGAUUAGCCUUCAAACCAAAAAGCAUCUGCACAAGUAAACAGAGUAUAUAGUAUUCAAAUGUAGCAUAAAAUAAACUUUUUUUCAAUGUUGUCUCUUCAUGCGCUACAUUAUAAAUUUAUAAUACUUAUAUGUUGGUGUGACAAACCUUUCUGUUUUGAAUCUCCUUCACGAUUCCAGCAUCAUCAGAGCAUGCAUAAGCAGAACUGCAGCCUGCUACAUAUAGUAAACAACAAUGUACCAAAUGUGUUAUGAAUGGU